UACGUAGGGUGCAAGCGUUGUCCGGAAUUAUUGGGCGUAAAGAGCUCGUAGGCGGUCUGUCGCGUCUGCUGUGAAAAUCAGGGCUCAACCCUGGACCUGCAGUGGGUACGGGCAGACUAGAGUGCGGUAGGGGAGAUCGGAAUUCCUGGUGUAGCGGUGAAAUGCGCAGAUAAUCAGGAGGAACACCGGGUGGCGAAGGCGGAUCUCUGGGCCGUAACUGACGCUGGAGGAGCGAAAGCAUGGGGAGCGAACAGG
rnacentral:rRNA from 1 species